UGUGUGUGUGUGUGUGUGUAGAUUAAACAUGAACGGGCCAAAACGGACAUGGCAGCAGGUCAAAAUCAAAUACAAGAACAUUCUGCAGAAUGGUAUGGUCCCUGACUAAUAUUUAACAAAGCACAAGCAUAUAUUGUACCCAGAAGGUGCCUGCUCACACAUUGUCUGUACUGUUUUAGCAGUGAAAAAGAAUACCCACAGACAAUGCACGGGUGGUGGGUCACCAAAGGCUGACCUUACCCCAGCAGAGGACAUGGCCUUGGAGCUAAAUAAAGGCAGGCCCGUCUUAGAGGGGAUCCCUGGGGGGAAAGAGACGAGCAUAGGUUCGUCCCAAGAUGCCACCCGCUUCAUUCAAGUGUCUGGCAGCACUGUGUUCCUGUUAGAGCCACCAGCACAAGCACCAGACGAUGCUGAUCCAGGUGAAGGCCCCAGUGCAGCAGCAACAGCACAUGAUGGAGACGAU